rnacentral:rRNA from 1 species
GACGAACGCUGGCGGCGUGCCUAAUACAUGCAAGUCGAGCGCAGGAAACUGACGGAACUCUUCGGAGGGAAGGCAGUGGAAUGAGCGGCGGACGGGUGAGUAACACGUAAGGAACCUGCCUCAAGGAUUGGGAUAACUCCGAGAAAUCGGAGCUAAUACCGGAUAGUUCAACGGACCGCAUGGUCCGCUGAUGAAAGGCGCUUCGGCGUCACCUUGAGAUGGCCUUGCGGUGCAUUAGCUAGUUGGUGGGGUAACGGCCCGCCAAAGCGACGAUGCAUAGCCGACCUGAGGGGGUGAUCGGCCACACUGGGACUGAGACACGGCCCCGACUCCUACGGGAGGCAGCAGUAGGGAAUCUUCCACAAUGGACGAAAGUCUGAUGGAGCAACGCCGCGUGAGUGAUGAAGGUUUUCGGAUCGUAAAACUCUGUUGUAAGGGAAGAACACGUACGAGAGGAAAUGCUCGUACCUUGACGGUACCUUACGAGAAAGCCACGGCUAACUACGUGCCAGCCGCCGCAGUAA